rnacentral:rRNA from 1 species
UACAGAGGUCUCAAGCGUUUGUUCGGAUUCAUUGGGCGUAAAGGGCGCGUAGGCGGCGGGGUAAGUCGGGUGUGAAAUCUCAGGGCUCAACCCUGAAACUGCACUCGAUACUGCUCUGCUUGAGGACUGGAGAGGAGACUGGAAUUCACGGUGUAGCAGUGAAAUGCGUAGAUAUCGUGAGGAAGACCAGUGGCGAAGGCGGGUCUCUGGACAGUUCCUGACGCUGAGGCGCGAAAGGCCAGGGGGAGCAAACGGG